rnacentral:rRNA from 1 species
AGUGAACGCUGGCGGUAUGCCUAACACAUGCAAGUCGAACGGCAGCACAGUAAGAUCGUGUUCUUACUGUUAGCGAGUGGCGGGUGGGUAAGGAGUACAUCGGCAUCUUCUUUUUCGGGGAUGACAACGGAGGGCAACUUACGCUACUACAUCAUACUAUCUACGGGUGGGAUCAGGAGUGCUUCAGACUCUUCGCGACUCAUUGAGCCGAUGUCGCAUUAGCUAGUUGGCGUGGUAACGGCCCACCAAGGCGACGAUACGUAGCUGAUCUGAGAGGAUGAUCAGCCACACUGGAACUGAGACACGGUCCAGACUCCUACGGGAGGCAGCAGUGGGGAAUAUUCGGCAAUGGGCGAAAGCCUGACGGAGCCACACCGCGUGAGUGAUGAAGGUCUUCGGGUUGUAAAGCCCUUUUAUUAGGAAAGAACAGCAGUGGAUGAAUCUGUGCACGUCUUGACGGUACCUAAACAAAAAGCACCGGCUAACUACGUG